rnacentral:rRNA from 1 species
UUUAUGGAGAGUUUGAUCCUGGCUCAGGAUGAACGCUGGCGGCGUGCCUAAUACAUGCAAGUCGAGCGAACAGAUAAGGAGCUUGCUCCUUUGACGUUAGCGGCGGACGGGUGAGUAACACGUGGGUAACCUACCUAUAAGACUGGAAUAACUUCGGGAAACCGAAGCUAAUGCCGGAUAACAUGUAGAACCGCAUGGUUCUACAGUGAAAGAUGGCCUUGCUAUCACUUAUAGAUGGACCCGCGCCGUAUUAGCUAGUUGGUAAGGUA